AGGAUGUGUCUCUAGUGCAUGUCUUCAACAUAGACACAUGAAAAACAUGAUGAACGACGGCUAAUUCUAAUGAGAGAUCUAACUCAUAAGCGACAUCUCUAACACACUUUAAGGUCUCGUAUUAACCAAUGUACCGGGGACUGAGUUUUUUUUUCCUUCCAAACUGAAAUACCCAAUUACCUACAACGAACUUUAGUUCUUUCCUCCUCACAUCUGCAUGCG
rnacentral:lncRNA from 1 species